rnacentral:rRNA from 1 species
UACGUAGGGUGCAAGCGUUAAUCGGAAUUACUGGGCGUAAAGCGUGCGCAGGCGGUGAUGUAAGACAGGUGUGAAAUCCCCGGGCUUAACCUGGGAACUGCAUUUGUGACUGCAUCGCUGGAGUGCGGCAGAGGGGGAUGGAAUUCCGCGUGUAGCAGUGAAAUGCGUAGAUAUGCGGAGGAACACCGAUGGCGAAGGCAAUCCCCUGGGCCUGCACUGACGCUCAUGCACGAAAGCGUGGGGAGCAAACAGGAUUGAGAA